rnacentral:tRNA from 1 species
GCCUCAGUAGUCUAGUAGUUAGGAUUCAGCCCUGUCACGGCUGAGACUCGGGUGCAAUUCCCGGCUGAGGCG